rnacentral:rRNA from 1 species
CGGACCGGCGCACGGGUGAGUAACGCGUAUGCAACCUACCUAUCAGAGGGGAAUAACCCGGCGAAAGUCGGACUAAUACCGCAUAAAACAGGGGUUCCACAUGGAAAUAUUUGUUAAAGAAUUAUCGCUGAUAGAUGGGCAUGCGUUCCAUUAGAUAGUUGGUGAGGUAACGGCUCACCAAGUCCACGAUGGAUAGGGGUUCUGAGAGGAAGGUCCCCCACACUGGUACUGAGACACGGACCAGACUCCUACGGGAGGCAGCAG